rnacentral:tRNA from 1 species
GCGUCUGUCGUUCAACCUGGUUCGGACUCUAGCCUUCCAAGCUAGUAAUCCGGGUUCAAAUCCCGGCGGACGCA